AUGGAAGAGGACAUCAUCGACAAGUUCUUCUACCAACACCCUGAGCAUCCGACACUCCUGCAGGCCGAGCAGCCCUUCGCUGAGAUCCUCUCAGCCUCCGUCAUCACCACAGCUGGUGCCCAUGGGUCCUCCGCUUUAAUUCCAAGUCAAGGCAACAACACGGGCAUCAUGGCUUCUGGGUUCUUGUCCAGCGAGGUACAUAGCCCACCCUUGAUCUUGAAUGGCAGAGUCACAGCGGAGGAGCCCAGCAGCGGCGUCACCAUGGGUGACCUGUCGAGCAUGGCUUUCUUCAAAGGCAUGGAGGAGGCCAACAGCUUCUUGCCCACAGUCAAUGUGAUGGUGGAUGCUAGGGGGCGUAAGAAGAGGUCUGGCAUGGAUGGCGAGACGGAGGCGUGCAUGGGCAGGAGCAGCAAGCAAAUAGCGGUGCGGGUGCUGGCGCAUAAUGACUCGGCGGAGGAAGACACCGCACUUGAGCUGGACCUGCUCAUCCUCAACGGCUACAACAUGCACUCCAAUGAGACGAUGAAGGCACGUGAGCGAGGUGACGAGGCGGAGCAGCAGUGCAUCUCCACCAAGGCGCCGCGUGGGAGGCGCGGCGCGAGGCUGGUGGUGGUGGACGACCUGGAGACACUGCUGAUCCGUUGCGCGGAGGCAGUGGCCACUAACGAUCAGCGCAGCGCGUGCGAGCUGCUGUGGCGGGUCAAGCGGCACUCCUCCCCAACAGGAGACGCCACACAGCGACUGGCGCAUUACUUCGCUGAGGGUCUAGAGGCACGGCUGGCUGGCAGAGGGAGCCAGCUUUACCGAUCGCUAAUGGUGAAGCGCACCCCCGUCGUCGAGGUCCUCAAGGCCUACAAGCUCUUCAUGUCCGCCUGCUGCUUCAUGAAGGUGUGUUUCCUCUUCUCCAACAAGACCAUCUACAAUGCCGUCAUGGGGAGACAUAAGCUGCACAUUGUGCACUAUGGUGUCAAUGACGGGUUCCAGUGGCCAGACUUGCUCCGGUGCCUAGCAGAAAGGGAGGGCGGCCCUCCGAAGGUGAGGAUCACCAGCAUUACCAGCCUCUGGCCAGGAUUCCGUCCUGCCGAGCAAACUCACGAUACAGGACAACGGCUCCGCCGCUGCGCAAAGCAGUUUGGCGUGCCAUUCGAGUUCCGCGUCAUCGAAGUCAAGGCAGAGGAUGUCCGGGUAGAGGAUCUCAACAUCAAUCCCGAUGAGGUUCUUGUCGUGAACAGCCUAAUCCAUUUUAGGUCCCUGAUGGACGAAAGUGUUGUCAUCGACAGGCUAAACCCCAGGGACAUUGUGCUCAACACUAUCAGAAAGAUGAAGCCAGCCGUGUUCGUCCACGCCAUCGUGAACGCGUCAUACAACACGACAUUUUUCGUGACACGGUUCCGCCAGGUGCUCCACAACUUCGCAGCACACUUUGAUGUGAUGGAAGCCACGGUGCCACGAGACAAUGAUGAGAGGCUGCUGGUGGAGCGGGACAUCAUCGCACGAUGUGCCAUGAACAUCAUCGCCUGUGAGGGGACAGACCGGGUGGAGCGCCCUCAAAACUACAGGGAGUGGCAGGCGCGGAACCAGCGAGCAGGGCUCAGACAGUUGGCACUGGACCCAGACCUUGUUCAGUUUUUGAAGGACAUGGUGAAGAAGCAGUACCACAAGCAUUUCGUGAUCAACGAGGAUCACCAAUGGCUUUUGCAGGGAUGGAAAGGACGCGUGCUCUACGCCAUCUCCACAUGGGUAUCUGACGAUGCUAGCAGCACUCAAGUGACAUAG
rnacentral:rRNA from 1 species